UAAAUAUUAAAAUGCUGUUACAUUGGUGACUUGUUUAAGACUCUGACUUGACUUUCAAGACUUGGGACUCAUGUCAGAACAAUCAAAUGUGCUCAUGUAGCUUUAACCUAAAAGGAAACCGCCCCUUUUAUUUAUCUGGCUGAAACCUCCAACCAGCCAUCACAGCUUUGAAUGGAGAGGCGUGACUAAAACGCUCACAACUGAAAAGGAGGAGUUUGGUCCUAAUACAACCUGUCGCCUGUAGUGCUGCUGUGCUGUUAGUGCUUCAGAAACUGUGGGUUCUCACAAUUGAAGUGUUUAUGGAGGCCUUUUCCAGACGUCUUUCAAGUAAACAGACCUCUCAACAGAAGAGAGAGAACCUGGCAUACAAGGUGUACAAUACAAACUGUCUGGAUCAGCCAUGCCUGGAUUGUUGUACUGAAGGUCCCUGAUACAUAGAGUGUGUGUGUGUGUGUGUGUGUGUGUGUGUGUGUGUGUGUGUGUGUGUGUGUGUGUGUGUGUGUGUGUGUGUGUGUGUGUGUGUGUGUGUGUGUGUGUGUGUGUGUGUGUUGAAUAUAAAAAAAAAUAUGUAUGUAUAAAUAUAUAUGUGAUUCAUCUGAAGACAUUUAACUAAGCUACUACUGUUAUGCUUGAAUAAAUCAACUUAUCUUUAAA